CUCGGUGGCAAUAGCGAAGAGGAAACACCCGUUCCCAUCCCGAACACGGAAGUUAAGGUCUUCAGCGCCGAUGGUACUGCGCGGGGGACCGCGUGGGAGAGUAGGUCGCCGCCGGGA
rnacentral:rRNA from 1 species